GGACAAGGAGCUGGAGAAGGUGGCGUGUGCUGUCCUGGGCAGCAGUGACUCCGAGAAAUGCUCCUACUCUCAGGGCUCAGCAAAGAGACAAGCACUACCGGCCUGUAGCACCCCAGAGGGAGAAGAACCAGCAGGAAUUUGUUUAGCUUGCAGUUACGAAUGUCAUGGAAGACACAAACUAUUUGAGCUAUACACAAAAAGAAAUUUUCGUUGUGAUUGUGGAAACAGCAAGUUUAAGAAUUUGGAAUGCAAAUUAUUUCCUGACAAAGCAAAGGUAAAUUCUGGCAAUAAGUAUAAUGAUAACUUUUUUGGAUUGUACUGCAUUUGCAAGAGACCUUAUAUAUCCCGAAGACGAGAUUCCAGAUGAGAUGAUCCAGUGUGUAGUCUGUGAAGACUGGUUCCACAGAAGGCAUCUUGGUGCCGUUCCCCCUGAGAGUGGGGAUUUUCAAGAGAUGGUAUGCCAGGCCUGCAUGAAACGUUGUUCUUUCUUGUGGGCUUAUGCUGCACAAUUGGCAGUAGUCAAACUAUCCACUGAGGAUGAUGGAAUGGUAUGGAAUAUUGGUGGAAUAGGUGAUCAGGAAGUUAUUAAACCCAAAAAUGGAGAGCAUCAAGAUAGUACCCUCAAAGAGGAUGUUCCAGAACAGGGAAGGGAUGUCCAGGAGGUUAAAGCAGAGAACAGUGAACCAUGUGCUAGCUCUAGUUCUGAAUCUGAUCUCCAGACAGUGUUUAAGAAUGAAAGCCUCAACACAGAAUCAAAAUCUGGCUGCAAACUUCAGGAGCUUAAAGCUAAGCAGUUUAUAAAAAAAGACACUGCCACCUAUUGGCCCCUGAACUGGCAUAGCAAGUUGUGCACCUGCCAAGACUAUAUGAAAAUGUAUGGAGAUCUAGAUGUCUUGUUCCUGACAGAUGAAUACGGCACAGUUCUGGCUUAUGAAAACAAAGGCAAGAUUGAGCAGGCCACUGAUAGGAGAGAUCCUCUAAUGGACACGCUUAGCAGCGUGAACAGAGUCCAGCAAGUGGAAUUCAUUUGUGAAUACAAUGAUUUGAAGACUGAACUUAAAGACUAUCUCAAGAGAUUUGCUGACGAAGGCACCAUUGUUAAGAGAGAGGACAUUCAGCAAUUCUUUGAAGAGUUUCAGUCAAAAAAGAGAAGAGUGGAAGGGAUGCAGUGUUACUGCAGCUAGAGUGGAGAGUGAGGCUUUCUCAUUCAGGCCAAUGAAAAUGCCGCUUCCUAUUCUUGUAAUAAUAAAAGAGGUGUGGUUCACAUUUGGCCCCCUUUCCAUCCUCUGUCUGGAGAGGCCUCAUGCUCCCUUCGUUCUCCUUAGCUGCAGUAGCCACAGUGUGGAUGCUGACUUCACAGCCAGCAUCCUCUGUGACUUAGCAAACACAGCUCAUUCCACAGAUCUCCAUUGUACACCUACUCCAGUGCACCCAGGAUUAUUUGCAUAUGUUUUUAAAAGUUUGAUUUGGUUUUGAGAAAGCAAAUUGGUUUCUUGUUUAAUGAUCUGUUAUUUCACUCCCAGAUGAGUGUGUUUUGCCACAGAGCUAUUGCCUUCUAUGACCUCCUCUGCAGGCAUCACAGAAGGCUCUCUUCCUGUCGCCUAGAAUCUAAACAGGUCCCCUCACCCCUAUGAUUGUGGUGCCUUGGGUCAAAGUUUCCUCACGCCUGGUCUGCUCCUUCCUUCACAUCCCUGCUCUCUGAGGUUUGGUCAUAGUUUAGAAAGGAUCUUAGAACUUGUUUUCUCUGAGCCCAGCCUCCAGAAUAGCCAGGACUGAUGGUUUUCUAGUCUGGGUGUCCAUCACA